CCAGACUCCUACGGGAGGCAGCAGUGGGGAAUAUUGGACAAUGGGCGCAAGCCUGAUCCAGCCAUACCGCGUGGGUGAAGAAGGCCUUCGGGUUGUAAAGCCCGUUUGUUGGGAAAGAAAUCCAGCUGGCUAAUACCCGGUUGGGAUGACGGUACCCAAAGAAUAAGCACCGGCUAACUUCGUGCCAGCAGCCGCGGUAAAACGAAGGGUGCAAGCGUUACUCGGAAUUACUGGGCGUAAAGCGUGCGUAGGUGGUCGUUUAAGUCCGUUGUGAAAGCCCUGGGCUCAACCUGGGAACUGCAGUAGAUACUGGGCGACUAGAGUGUGGUAGAGGGUGGCGGAAUUCCUGGUGUAGCAGUGAAAUGCGUAGAGAUCAGGAGGAACAUCCAUGGCGAAGGCAGCUACCUGGACCAACACUGACACUGAGGCACGAAAGCGUGGGGAGCAAACAGGAUUAGAUACCCUGGUAGUCCACGCCCUA
rnacentral:rRNA from 1 species